UACGUAGGGUGCAAGCGUUGUCCGGAAUUAUUGGGCGUAAAGAGCUCGUAGGCGGUUUGUCGCGUCUGCUGUGAAAACGCGAGGCUCAACCUCGCGCCUGCAGUGGGUACGGGCAGACUAGAGUGCGGUAGGGGAGAUUGGAAUUCCUGGUGUAGCGGUGGAAUGCGCAGAUAUCAGGAGGAACACCGGUGGCGAAGGCGGCUCACUGGCUCAUUACUGACGCUCAGGCGCGAUAGCGUGGGGAUCAAACAGG
rnacentral:rRNA from 1 species